CCCUGACUCUGGAUUGCAGCCCUCCCUCGAUUCUGGGUAUUACAUCAUUUCAUUUCAGCUAAUGUAAACACUCAUCACCCUGCACAUUGCAGGAUUUUUCACUACGAUUUGAGAUUGGGCUUCAUUCAGUGGGUCGUUGUGGUGAUUAAUGGUUUCAGAAGGAAGUGCAGCAGGAAGAGACUUUACAGGAAUGGAAGAGGUGAGGCAGCUCCAUGUGAGAUUCUGCAAAAGGAUUAAGAUUUGGCACCAGGCUUGGUUUCUGUGCAGCCUCUUAGGCAGAGAGCCCCAGGAGAGGGAAGCAGGCUGUCAGCUGUGCCUUUGCACGCUCUCAGCUGCCUUGAAGGUUGGUUGGCUCUUCCCGCUCUCUGAGGUACCCAAUUUUACCUUGUUAAAGGAUGGAUGUGGAUGCUGGAGGCUUAAAGAAGACCAGAUCUACAAUGCAGUGAGAAGAGGAGAAGAAACAGAAAAUACAGUUGGAUCUCUACUCCAUUUCUUCACCAGGCUCCCAGCCUCCGAGACAGCCCAUGGAAGAAUAAGUGUUGGUCCAUGCUUAAAGCAAUGUGUCCAAGACACUGUAUAUGAGUAUCGCGCCACCCUCCAAAGGACUUCAAUAUCGCAGUACAUCACCGGUUCUCUCCUAGAAGCAACCACGUCUUUGGGAGCAAGAAGUGGCCUUCUCAGUACUUUUGGAGGAUCCACUGGACGAAUGAUGCUGAAAGGUAAUGCCUGAAAUUUCACUUUUAACUUUUUAUCUUUGACUAGAAAGAAGGAUC
rnacentral:lncRNA from 1 species